CCACUCGUAGAUAACUUUAUCCUCUUAGAGGUAAAUUAUAUUAUUGAAACAAAAUAAUUCCCUAUAUCCACCUGAACUAAUUCCUUGUUGUCUAAUUUGUCUAAAAGAAAACGUUUUUCUAUAUUAUUAUUUUUUUUAAAAAGAAGUUAUUUACCAAAUUUUUCUUACUAUUAUAAAAUUAAUGUUUUAUCAAAUGAGGCAUUUAUUAAAUAACAAAGCAUUAUGUACAAAUGGUCAAUAUUUAUCAAAAAUCCCAACACCUCAAGAAAAAAUUCUAAUAACGCUUUGAGUGUAAAAUAACUUUUUGGCUGAAGUGGAAAAAAGUUUUUAUAGUGCAAAUCCAAAUUGAGUCUCAAGUAUUUGCUCAAAAAUAUGUUUUCAUCCAGUCUGAGUCCCCAAAUUUCGUCCUUGGAGUCCAAUUCGAGUCGCAAGUCUUGGCUAUCGAGUUUAAGACGUGUCUUGAGAUUGUGUGAUCAAGUCGAGCUUGAAGCCUUCAAAAUAUGGACUCAAGUCGAAUCGCAAUUCUUGAGUCCUUACCUCUUCCAUUUUUCAUUAUGUAUCAUUAGUAACAGUUUUUUGUCAAUAUAAAAAAUGUACAAGGGUUUUCCAAUUGAAUUUUUAAUUACAAUAGAUCCUUUAACAUCUACAUACCACAAACGGAAACUGGUUGUAAUAAUCCAAAUUAAUGGUUAUUUUACUAAUUUUUCUCAUUAUGAUAACACAAAUAUUAAGUAAAAUACAGCCACAUGAGAUGUACAUAUUUCAAACCUUGUGUAUCAUUCAUUUGGGUAACCAUUUUCAAAUAGGUAUGUAUGUAAAUACAAUGCACGUAGAUAUAUUAAAAAGGACGGCCAAAUACUUUCAAUCAAAAUAUUAUUAAAAACCGCAAUUAACUUUUUUAUUUUGUAUUCAAAAAGAUCUUGUUGUAAGUAAAACAAAAGAAGGGCUCAAGGAUGAGAAUAGCCCUUUACUGAGACGGAUUUUUUUCUUCAUUUUUUAUAGUUAUUUUAUAUUUUUACAUUCUUUUAUAAGUCUAUAACUUGGAUCUACUUUCCCUACAUACUUGAGAACAAAAUAUAUUUCCAUGUUGUUUCGUGAAUGAGAACGAUCUCAUCUUGAUAAAUAAAGGGCUCCAUUUGUAAACAAUUUAUUUACUAAUUCGAAGGUUUAAAAUGUUUAUAUAUAUAUAUGCAACACAAAGUAGUAUAGGGAAGGGCAACUUCUACUUAACACAGUUCCAAGUAUGUAUGUGUUCCACCUAACCAUUCAAUAACCCCUUUCAACUUAAUUGUAUUACUUUGGAACCUUACUUACAAACAUAAACAAGCUACAGAGAAGAUAAGAAAAGGCUUUCAUUCAAAUAAUAAGUAAGUAAUGCAUUUAGAUAAGAAUCGAAUAGAAAGAUAUAUAUAUAUAUUGGAGAUGUUGUGUGAUUAAUAAUUCAGGACCUUAUUAUUCAACUUAAUUAUAACAUAAUUCUUAAAAUAAAUAGAUUCAGACCUGUAUUGUUAUGGAUAUGUGUAUUAGUCAAUUUAUCCACGAGAUCACUUUGGGAAGCAGAUGCCAUGUUCUUAUCUUCAUUCAAUACAUUAGCCGCCAUUGUAAUACAAAAUAUAUAACUAAAUCCU
rnacentral:lncRNA from 1 species